rnacentral:lncRNA from 13 species
AUUCAGUGGUUUGGGGGUGGGCUGGGGUAAGAUUCUACAGUUCUCCAACAAACUCCUGAGUAAUGUCGAUGCUGCUGGACCACAGGCCACAGUUUGAGAAGGAAGGGGUUGACAUUUACGGGAAAACAUUGGAAAGCUGGGAAGCUUAGUGACUUAUCCAGUUCACCCAACAGGUUAGGAGGAAACCCUGGAUUCUAAGCCCAACGGUGAGACUCAGGCUUGCCCUGAGUUCUCAAUUGUGCUGUUUGUUAUUGUCAACAACAGUCAUUCUUAAAAGUGAUCACACAAUUGCCCUGUUUUUCAGAAUUGUGCCUGCUCUUCUUGACUCACGAAAAUACUGCAAAAGAAACUUGCUUUGUCUGCCCUGACUCAGGAGAAAUGCAAGUGGCCACGGAUUUGCUCUGGAGGACUAAGUUGAUAGUAUAAACCUGUGGUUCUCAUAAGUAUCCCCAGGCUGCACUAUCAGCAUCACAUGGAAACAUCUCUCAAAAAGGCAUGUCAGAAACUGUGAGGACAGAACCCAGGAGUCUGCUUCAUAAAGCCUUUCAGGUGAUUCAGAUUUUAGCUGCCAGAGUGAGAUCUUGUAUGAGAGCGGGUAACGGAGGCAUUGUGGGAAAGAAGUAUUCAUUAGGAGACAUUCAGUUCAUCAGAAAGCCUUUGGUUAAAUUCUGCAUAAUUGGUUCCUGCUUAAGAUAGACCCUGCAAGAAUCCAGGAGGAGACGUGGGAGUAGAUAAAGAAUGAGUGGAAGAAACAAAAAACAGACACUCCUGGUAAGAGAAACCAUGUCCAUUCUGGGGGGAAGUAUUAAGAGGGUCCCACAUGG